GAGCAUCGAUGCCACGAUACUCGGCAAC
rnacentral:sRNA from 1 species